rnacentral:ncRNA from 1 species
CUCACUGAGUUUAAGCAUAUAAUUAAGUAGAGGAAAAAAAACUUACAAGGAUUCCCCUAGUAAUGACAAGCGAACCAGGAAGAUCCCAUCAUGAAAAUCGGGUGGUAACGCCACCUGAAUUGUAGUCUGUAUAAGCAUCCUUAGCGGUGGACUAGGCCCAAGUCUCAUGGAAGGGGGUGCCUGAGAGGGUGACAACCCCAUUGGGCCAGGGACCUGCCAUACCACAAGGCGUUGUCGGUGAGUCAAGUUAUUUGGGAAUGCAGCCCUAAUCGGGUUGUAAAUUAUGUCCAAGGCUAAAUACGGGUGAGAGACCAAUAGCGAACAAGUACCACGAGG